rnacentral:lncRNA from 1 species
UCUCGAUCUCCUCUCUCCAGAUCACUGAUCCGGUCCGGGGUGUCUCGAUCUCCUCUCUCCAGAUCACUGAUCCGGUCCCGGGUGUCCCGAUCUCUCUGUCCUCCAGAUCACUGAUCCGGUCCCGGGUGUCCCGAUCUCUCUGUCCUCCAGAUCACUGAUCCGGUCCAGGGUGUCCCGAUCUCCCCUCUCCAGAUCAGGGAUCCCCCUGCAGCCCCAGUCUGAGUGUUGGAUGAGACCAUUCAGAGAAGUCGGUGCCUGUGUCAUGAGCGGUAAACAGCAGGACCGCGCUGGGAAGAGGCGCCCGACAGCUGCUCCCGUUCCCCGC